rnacentral:rRNA from 1 species
UACGGGGGGGGCAAGCGUUGUUCGGAAUUACUGGGCGUAAAGGGCUCGUAGGCGGCCAACUAAGUCAGACGUGAAAUCCCUCGGCUUAACCGGGGAACUGCAUCUGAUACUGGAUGGCUUGAGUUCGGGAGAGGGAUGUGGAAUUCCAGGUGUAGCGGUGAAAUGCGUAGAUAUCUGGAGGAACACCGGUGGCGAAGGCGGCAUCCUGGACCGACACUGACGCUAAGGAGCGAAAGCCAGGGGAGCAAACGGG